rnacentral:rRNA from 1 species
AUUGAACGCUGGCGGAAUGCUUUACACAUGCAAGUCGAACGGUAGAGGGGGCAACCCCUUGAGAGUGGCGAACGGGUGAGUAAUAUAUCGGAACGUGCCCAGUCGUGGGGGAUAACGUAGCGAAAGUUACGCUAAUACCGCAUACGAUCUAAGGAUGAAAGCGGGGGAUCGCAAGACCUCGCGCGACUGGAGCGGCCGAUAUCAGAUUAGGUAGUUGGUAGGGUAAAGGCCUACCAAGCCAACGAUCUGUAGCUGGUCUGAGAGGACGACCAGCCACACUGGAACUGAGACACGGUCCAGACUCCUACGGGAGGCAGCAGUGGGGAAUUUUGGACAAUGGGCGAAAGCCUGAUCCAGCCAUUCCGCGUGCAGGAUGAAGGCCCUCGGGUUGUAAACUGCUUUUGUACAGAACGAAAAGGUUUCUAUUAAUACUAGGAGCUCAUGACGGUACUGUAAGAAUAAGCACCGGCUAACUACGUGCCAGCAGCCGCGGUAAUACGUAGGGUGCAAGCGUUAAUCGGAAUUACUGGGCGUAAAGCGUGCGCAGGCGGUUAUAUAAGUCAGAUGUGAAAUCCCCGGGCUCAACCUGGGAACUGCAUUUGAGACUGUAUAGCUAGAGUACGGUAGAGGGGGAUGGAAUUCCGCGUGUAGCAGUGAAAUGCGUAGAUAUGCGGAGGAACACCGAUGGCGAAGGCAAU